rnacentral:lncRNA from 1 species
CAUAUGUUGUCAAACCAUUAUAGACAAAUAUUCGUUAAUUGGUUUAUUUUAAGGCCAACUUUUAACGUUAAUCAUAUCCUGGAAUACAGAUUCCGGGUCUUUCUAUCGAUUGCAAAGUAUCAUACAAGUAUAAAGAAAUAUUUUAAAAUUGCCUUCAUAGCUUUAACUGCAAGUGAGACGUUUACGUUUAACAAAUCAUGUUUCAUUUUUUGCAGUUUUCCAGGUUGCUAUGGUGGCAUUAUUGCAUAGAUGAGAGACCAUCCAUGAUUCAUACACAACAUCGACUGACGUGGUUUCAGAUUUGUAGCAGGAAGGGGUUCCAUGGAAACGUGUCUCUACAUCUAGGCAAUGGUAUAAUGGAUGGCCGACGUUCAGAUGUACAAAGUUAUACAGCAGAUUUUGGAGCAUAAAGUAAUGCUGGGGUAUGUAUACUUGAAGAAAAAAGACGCAGACGGACAUGGAGAUGCAGACCAAGCAAAAUGUGAGUUUCCCUUUAUGAUGAACAGGUAUGUAUAUUGCUACUUAUGUUAUCCUUUUUUGUAUGCAUCUUUUCAACCUGGUGGCUGAUGUUUACAAGCACGUGUGAACAUAUCAUGUUGUAGACGAUGCAAUUGUUUAGUGGAUGGUACAGCUAUGGUACAUAAUAUAUUGACUACAAGCAAGUGCAUGAAUGUCAUGUUGUAGAUUUCACAGUGGUUAAGUGGAUGCUGCAACUUGAUCCUUUUUCUGAGGUAUGUAGUUUUUCUGACAGGUACAAUUAGAUUAUUUCGUUUGAUAGUCUUUUUUUGCAGUUUUCAUCCCGCAAGUUACGCACAUUCAUUUUCAUUUUAAUAAAUUUUCUAUAAAUUUUCUAUUUUCUGGUUAUCGUGUGGGCGUACAUGGUUUUGAUUUUUUUCUUUAUUUUUAACUCAUUACUGUUAAUUGUUAGAUAAUGACUACCAGUAUUCAGUUAAGCAGUGCAUAACUUUAAACCUUUAGAAAGAAAAGAACUAUUUAACUCGUAGUUAUUCUGGAGCGUAGGAAUGUGCAUUCAACUUCUUGCUAUUGUGAAAAUAAAACUCGAAGUAUCGGACAAGAAACUCAAAACUAUUCGAUGAGAAACUCAGGCUAUCAGACGAGGAACCCGAGUUAUCCGACAAGAAGCAGUUUCCUGUACCAUACACGUAAGGACUUGCUUAUAAUUUAUAUUGCACUUUGAAUAGAGGUCGGUAAAUCAGUUUAAUUACACCAAGUAGGUUUUCAUGAUUGGUGUAAUUGUACGUCGGGCUCAUUGCUGUGUUGCAGUAAACAAUAAGCCUGAGACGUGGUUCGAAUUCGUGAUUUUUGGUGUGUGAGUUUGAAACCCAUUUUCUUCUUUAAACCGUAUCAAAGAUUUUAUAACAAACUUUUGUUUUCUGUCAGUAAAAAGAAAACGGGGAUAUAACUAUCUUUUCAUAUGUGACUUUGGUGUAAGUGUUGGUUUCUGAAAAACAGUGUGGCUGUUUAUUUUAUUGUAUUAACAGGAAGAAGAAUUGUUGAUGGAACUACAGUUGUCGUAGCCUUGGUGGUACUAAAAAGAUGCCGACAACCAGAGGGGCACUGGUAACCAAUCGAUAUCGCUAAUCAGAGGUGUUCUAGACCCCUUAUGUCAACAUAGUAAUCAACUGUUCUCGAUAAGCAUUGUUCGAUUGGUCAAGAUAGAGAUGUUUUAGUGGAAUUCAGCCCUUGAUGGACAUAUCAUCUGUAUUUGCCCUGUCAUGGUGAUGGUAGAGAGCUCUUCCACACCUCGUGCACAUAUCAGAAUUUAUUCAGGUUUAAAACGACAGGAAGACAGUGUUUUACAUUGUUGAAAGACAAAGAAAAAGAAUCGAUUCCAGAACGUGCCGUCCUGUGUUUGUUGUUUUCGACAGUUGAGGGGAGAGUCCGGUGCAUGCCAGAUCCUAUCUAUUGAUUUCAAACACUCUAGUGGGAAAUAUAUGCAGAAGAAAGAACCAAGUAUGAUAAAUCCGCGAUAGACCUGGCACAAGCAUAUAGCAUGCCACGACUUUCAGUCGCCAUGACAAAAGCAUAGUUAAACAAAUUAGACAUAAGCUAACAUGUAUAUAAUUAUACCCCAACAUACAAAGUAUAUUGGGCUAUGUUGGAGUCACGCAUGUCCAGUCCAUCCGUCCGUCCGUUCAUUUGUCCACCAUGGCCGCUGGGAUGAUUUUCAUAAAACUGACAUAAAUUAUAAACCACAUCAAGACGAUGUACAGAGCGCUCAACCUAGGUCACAAGGCCCAAGGUCAAGAUUACUCGUGGAGGUCAAAGGUCAAAUAGCUUAGCUUCAUGUCCGCUCUAUAUUGUCUAAAUGGCUUUGAAAAUAUUUAGCUCGACUGUUUGAAGAAUAAGGAGGAUUACUGUACAUUCCUUGGCGUCUGUGUCACUGUUACCUUUGCAUUGAAAGUUAAAAUUUUAGGACAAGCUUCUCAGUGUCACUAUAUCUUCUUACUACUGCCCUUAUUAACAUCAAACUUCACAUAAGUGUUGGUCUUGGUAAGGGAAAGACAUCUACAUGUAUUAGUUUAGGAACAAGUAUCCCAAAUGUCGAAGUCACUGGCUUAAAUAUUGUGAUAGUGCUGGUUAAAGUUUCAUGAUAAGCUUCUAAAUUUCACAAUAUAACCUCACAUAAAGAUUGAUCUUAGAACGUGGCAGAAAUCUUUUUGUUUAGGGUCAGGUUGCUCAAAGGUCAAGGUUACUGGGUUCAGAUUUUGUAACAGUGUUUGUUAAAGUCUUGUGGCACAUUUCUCAAUUUGACUUAUAUCUCAUAACGUUUCUUAGAACUGGUAUCCCUCAUGUCCUAUCCUUUUUAGCUAUACCCACACUUCAUCUACGUUCCUCCCGACACCCACCCAAAAAUGCGUUCCAUACAAAAACUUAUAUUUCAUGUUUCCAUCAACUCCCCUACUCCGCUGUCUUCACCUACCUCCUCCACCCCAUUUCACCGAACCUUUACCCUCGUCCCUAACCCCCGCCCCCUCCAUAAAAAGGAUAAAAAAACUCCUUUUUGAUCUCCCACACUUACUUAUAAUAAUAACAAUAUCUUAUUAAACAUUUUCCUUAUAGUCGAGCAGACACAAUUAACUCAGAUCACUAGGCCCACGGUCAAGGUCACACCUAAAAGUCAAAAGUCUUGAUGACAACAUUUUACUUCCCAUUUAUCAAAAUGAGGUCUGGGGAUAUUAAUCGACUUCAUUGAUAGCCUUAGUUAAUCAGGUGUUAGUGGCAUAAAUGUGUAACAUUUGCUUUAUUAGGAGUGGUGGAUAGGAAUGGUCUUCGUCCGUCCAUCUGUCCGUCCGUCUGCCCGUCCGCAACACUCGUGUCCAGGCCAUAUCUCCUUAACCCCUUGAAAGAUUUUCAUGAAACUUGGGUCAAAUGAUCACAUCAAGACGAUGUGCAGAACUUAUAAGUUUGCCAUGUCGGCUCAAGGUCAAGGACACAACUCAA